CCAAUAGCGUAUAUUAAAGUUGUUGCAGUUAAAAAGCUCGUAGUUGAAUUUCGAGAUCAGUACGCUGGUCGUGCCUUCGGUAUGCACUGGUGUCACUGGUUUCUCCCUUCUGAAGAACCGUCAUGUCAUUAAGUUGGUGUGGCGGGGAAUCAGGACUGUUACUUUGAAAAAAUUAGAGUGUUUAAAGCAGGCUCGCGCUUGAAUACAUUAGCAUGGAAUAAUGAAAUAGGACGUUUGACCCUAUUUUGUUGGUUUCUAGGAUCGACGUAAUGAUUAAUAGGGAUAGUUGGGGGCAUUAGUAUUCAAUGGUCAGAGGUGAAAUUCUUGGAUUUAUUGAAGACUAACUACUGCGAAAGAAUUUGCCAAGGAUGUUUUCAUUAAUCAAGAACGAAAGUUAGGGGAUCGAAGACGAUCAGAUACCGUCGUAGUCUUAACCAUAAACUAUGCCGACUAGGGAUCGGAUGAUGUUAAUUUUUUAAUGACUCAUUCGGCGCCUUACG
rnacentral:rRNA from 1 species